AUUCUUAUGACCUUUUUAGUAUUAUAACUGCACAUACACUGUGAAUAAGACACGAUUAUGUAUUUUUAUUUGCUCUAAACAUCUGUAUGACUAUUUGACUUAGUUUCAAAUUGAUCACCCAUUCAGUCUGGUUUUAAACAUAAUCCUUCAUUUCAAAUUGCCCGCAUUAAUAUCAUUUAUAGAUGACUACAUGAAAUGAAUAAGAAAAAUAUCGAUAUGGCAGUUCUCCUGGAUUAUAUAAAAAGCUUUUGGUUUGUAAGGCUUUUGAUUUGUUGCUCGUGAAAUAAAUAAAAAGAACAAAACAAAAUCAAAUGUAUGGCUUCCAUGGCUUCCUUGACAGUACGGUUGAUUUUUCAAAAUGAUAUUCAAAAUAAAAAAACAUAGCAAGUCCAUAUAAAUCAUAUAUUAUUAAGUAAUCAUUUCUUUGAUAACCUAUUUAUCAGGCUCAAUACUUGGUUCCAUUUUGUUUAUUUUGUAUAUAAAUUAUCUAUAAUUAUAUAUAUAUAAAGUGCAACACAGACGUAUAUGCUUAUGACACAACUAUGCAUACAUCAUGAAAGAGUAUUGGAGAUAUGCAGUUUGGCGUACAAGGUGAACUCCAAAGUGUUAAAAAAUGGUGUCGUGAAAAUAAAAAUGUUCAUAAAUUCGGAUAUAACGUAAUGUAUGGUUAUCGUUACAAGACAAAGGCUGAGUUGUUGUACUAAAAUGAGUUAGUAAAGAUUAUAAAAUUGAUGAAAAGUGCUCCAAGACUAAUUGUGUAUGCUGGACG
rnacentral:lncRNA from 1 species